AUUGAACGCUGGCGGCAGGCCUAACACAUGCAAGUCGAACGAGUGGCGGACGGGUGAGUAAUGUCUGGGAAACUGCCUGAUGGAGGGGGAUAACUACUGGAAACGGUAGCUAAUACCGCAUACCAUCGGAUGUGCCCAGAUGGGAUUAGCUAGUAGGUGGGGUAAAGGCUCACCUAGGCGACGAUCCCUAGCUGGUCUGAGAGGAUGACAAGCCACACUGGAAAUGAGACACUGUCCAGACUCCAAAGGGAGGCAGCAGUGGGGAAUAGGGAAAAAUGGGCGGAAGCCUGAUGCAGCCAUGCCGCGUGUAUGAAGAAGGCCUUCGGGUUUUAAAGUACUUUCAGCGGGGAGGCGUUACCCGCAGAAGAAGCACCGGCUAACUCCGUGCCAGCCGCCGCGGUAAUUC
rnacentral:rRNA from 1 species